rnacentral:rRNA from 1 species
GGGUGAGUAACGCGUGAGGAACCUGCCUCAAAGAGGGGGACAACAGUUGGAAACGACUGCUAAUACCGCAUAAGCCCACGGCUCGGCAUCGAGCAGAGGGAAAAGGAGCAAUCCGCUUUGAGAUGGCCUCGCGUCCGAUUAGCUAGUUGGUGAGGUAAUGGCCCACCAAGGCGACGAUCGGUAGCCGGACUGAGAGGUUGAACGGCCACAUUGGGACUGAGACACGGCCCAGACUCCUACGGGAGGCAGCAGUGGGGAAUAUUGCACAAUGGGGGAAACCCUGAUGCAGCGACGCCGCGUGGAGGAAGAAGGUCUUCGGAUUGUAAACUCCUGUUGUUGAGGAAGAUAAUGACGGUACUCAACAAGGAAGUGACGGGUAACUACGUGCCAGCAGCCGCGGUAAAACGUAGGUCACAAGCGUUGUCCGGAAUUACUGGGUGUAAAGGGAGCGCAGGCGGGAGAACAAGUUGGAAGUGAAAUCCAUGGGCUCAACCCAUGAACUGCUUUCAAAACUGUUUUUCUUGAGUAGUGCAGAGGUAGGCGGAAUUCCCGGUGUAGCGGUGGAAUGCGUAGAUAUCGGGAGGAACACCAGUGGCGAAGGCGGCCUACUGGGCACCAACUGACGCUGAGGCUCGAAAGUGUGGGUAGCAAACAGGAUUAGAUACCCUGGUAGUCCACACCGUAAACGAUGAUUACUAGGUGUUGGGGGAUUGACCCCUUCAGUGCCGC